GCCCGGUUUGCUCAGUCGGUAGAGCAUCUGACUUUUAAUCAGAGGGUCGCGGGUUCAAGUCCCUCAUCGGGCU
rnacentral:tRNA from 1 species